AAAGAAAAAUAAACAAAUUACAAUUAGACAAAAGAUACAGAGAUGAAAAAUCAUUUAGGAAAUAUCUUUAAAAAACCGGGAAGCUUCUUGUCCAAAAAUUCCUCAACUUCCAGCCUUGUUAAAAUUCUCUUUCAGACAAUUAACGCCGUCCCCAGUUAGCUCUAGAUGUUAAUCAACUAGUUCUUAGAUGAUCUGAACAUUAGGCUAGAGAAUUAUAUGAAAUUUUUCUUCUAUCUUGCAAAUCUUAUCAGCUAUCCGCAACUGGAAUCAAUUUUUUUCAUCCAUCCUCUACACAAAUCAGAUAAGUAUCUCCCCUUUCAAUCUCAUAUAAACAUUGUCAUUUUCCUCUUCCUUCUUAUUGGUGGACUGAAUCUCUAAUAAGAUUGAUACCACCACCAGACCCGAAGUAAGGAAAAAAUAAAAUUCUUAUAGAGAUUCGGUUGUUGUUCAUUUCUAUGCAGGUUAAAAUUACUCUUCCAGAUCCAAUUUUCCAAGGUAAAGAACCUAGUUGCAUGCUUGUUCUGACUUGAUAUCUAUUGAACACCUCAAAUCUCACAGAUCCAGGUACAAAUGCGUUGCACGAUGGUUGAUUCAGGUAGUGUUUGAAGUAUUUUUGAGGUAGCAGUCGAUCUAUGUUUUCAGAGUUGAUCCACUACCUCCUCUUAUUUAGUUUAUGUCUUGUUUUGUAUUCGAAGACAAAUUAUAUUCUUUUUGAGCUAUCAGUUGUACAUUUUGAUGUCGAGAUGUAAUUAGUAGGUUCUUACAAUGUGACACAAGAUUUUGGGAGAGUUAUGGUUUCUUUGAUUA